UGUUGAAGCUCUUUCUCUCGUU
rnacentral:misc_RNA from 1 species